rnacentral:rRNA from 1 species
UACAGAGGGCCCAAGCGUUGUUCGGAUUCACUGGGCGUAAAGGGUGCGUAGGCGGUCGGGUAAGUCUGGCGUGAAAUCUCCAAGCCUAACUUGGAAACUGCGUUGGAUACUAUCCGGCUCGAGGAAUGGAGGGGAGACUGGAAUACUUGGUGUAGCAGUGAAAUGCGUAGAUAUCAAGUGGAACACCAGUGGCGAAGGCGAGUCUCUGGACAUUUCCUGACGCUGAGGCACGAAAGCCAGGGGAGCAAACGGG